CCUACGGGAGGCAGCAGUGAGGAAUAUUGGUCAAUGGGCGCGAGCCUGAACCAGCCAAGUCGCGUGAGGGAUGACGGUCCUACGGAUUGUAAACCUCUUUUGCCGGGGAGCAAGCGUGCGUUCGUGAACGCGCGUCGAGAGUACCCGGAGAAAAAGCAUCGGCUAACUCCGUGCCAGCAGCCGCGGUAAUACGGAGGAUGCGAGCGUUAUCCGGAUUUAUUGGGUUUAAAGGGUGCGUAGGCGGGGUGCCAAGUCAGCGGUAAAAUUGCGGUGCUCAACGCCGUCGGGCCGUUGAAACUGGGGUUCUUGAGUGGGCGAGAAGUAUGCGGAAUGCGUGGUGUAGCGGUGAAAUGCAUAGAUAUCACGCAGAACUCCGAUUGCGAAGGCAGCAUACCGGCGCCCUACUGACGCUGAGGCACGAAAGCGUGGGUAUCGAACAGGAUUAGAUACCCGAGUAGUC
rnacentral:rRNA from 1 species